CUCACAGGUGACUGAUAUGCUUGUUCCAGAAGCACUCGAAAUCAGCCAUGAUGGAAGUGAAGAGAGCGUUGGAACUAUGACAUUGCUUUGUAAAUCGCAAAUAAAACAUCUUUGACAUUUU